rnacentral:rRNA from 1 species
UACAGAGGGGGCAAGCGUUGUUCGGAAUUACUGGGCGUAAAGGGCGCGUAGGCGGCCUGUUAAGUCGAACGUGAAAUCCCCGGGCUCAACCCGGGAACUGCGUCCGAUACUGGCAGGCUUGAAUUCGGGAGAGGGAUGUGGAAUUCCAGGUGUAGCGGUGAAAUGCGUAGAGAUGUGGAGGAACACCAGUGGCGAAGGCGACUCUUUGGCCUGUAACUGACGCUGAGGCGCGAAAGCGUGGGGAGCAAACAGG